rnacentral:rRNA from 1 species
UGCCAGCAGCCGCGGUAAUACGGAGGGGGCCAGCGUUGUUCGGAAUUAUUGGGCGUAAAGGGCGCGCAGGCGGUCGCGCAAGUCGGUUGUGAAAUCCCCUGGCUUACCCAGGGAACUGCAUCCGAUACUGCGUGACUUGAGUCCGGGAGAGGAGAGUGGAAUUCCCAGUGUAGCGGUGGAAUGCGUAGAUAUUGGGAGGAACACCAGUGGCGAAGGCGGCUCUCUGGACCGGUUCUGACGCUGAGGCGCGAAAGCUAGGGGAGCAAACAGGAUUAGAUA